ACAGAGCAAGAUACUGCCAGAAAAGAUCUUACUUCUUGGUGAGCUUCCAGGGAUACUAUCAUCUCUCAAAGAGGCCCUGGAGUCCAUGAAACGAGGUUCAUUCAGCUCAAGCCCAAGAUCAUCUGAGCUGUGUCUUCCUGAAACCUCAGACAUGAUUUCCCUCGGUGGUUCUGAUGUCCCCAAAAGAGUCUAUGGCAGACUGAACAAGUCACGAACUUCUCUUUUUACUCACGACUUGGCCACUUUACUUUUUGCUAUUGUAUUUCACUUUGUUUGACUUAAAGGAUUAGUUCACUUAAAAAAAAAAAAAAACUUUUGCUGAUAACUUACCCA